CAUGCAGUCGAACGCGACCCCUUCCAGCUUGCUGGGAGUGUGGUUGAGUGGCGAACGGGUGAGUAACACGUGAGUAACCUGCCCCCUACUUCGGGAUAAGCCUGGGAAACUGGGUCUAAUACCGGAUAUGACCACGGGACGCAUGUUCUGUGGUGGAAAGUUUUUCGGUGGGGCGAAAUGGGUCUCGCGGCCAUAUCAGCUUGAUGGUGAGGUAAUGGCCUACCAUGGCGACGACGGGUAACCGACCUGAGAGGGCGACCGGCCACACUGGGACUGAGACACGGCCCAGACUCCUACGGGAGGCAGCAGUGGGGAAUAUUGCACAAUGGGGGAAACCCUGAUGCAGCGACGCAGCGUGCGGGAUGACGGCCUUCGGGUUGUAAACCGCUUUCAGCAGGGAAGAAGCCUUUCGGGGUGACGGUACCUGCAGAAGAAGUACCGGCUAACUACGUGCCAGCAGCCGCGGUAAUACGUAGGGUACGAGCGUUGUCCGGAAUUAUUGGGCGUAAAGAGCUCGUAGGUGGUUGGUCACGUCUGCUGUGGAAACGCAACGCUUAACGUUGCGCGUGCAGUGGGUACGGGCUGACUAGAGUGCAGUAGGGGAGUCUGGAAUUCCUGGUGUAGCGGUGAAAUGCGCAGAUAUCAGGAGGAACACCGGUGGCGAAGGCGGGACUCUGGGCUGUGACUGACACUGAGGAGCGAAAGCAUGGGGAGCGAACAGGAUUAGAUACCCUGGUAGUCCAUGCCGUAAACGUUGGGCACUAGGUGUGGGGGGCAUUCCACGUUCUCCGCGCCGUAGCUAACGCAUUAAGUGCCCCGCCUGGGGAGUACGGUCGCAAGGCUAAAACUCAAAGGAAUUGACGGGGGCCCGCACAAGCGGCGGAGCAUGCGGAUUAAUUCGAUGCAACGCGAAGAACCUUACCAAGGCUUGACAUACGCCAGGACACGCCUGGAGACAGGUGCUCCCUUUGGGGUUGGUGUACAGGUGGUGCAUGGUUGUCGUCAGCUCGUGUCGUGAGAUGUUGGGUUAAGUCCCGCAACGAGCGCAACCCUCGUUCUAUGUUGCCAGCACGUGAAUGGUGGGAACUCAUAGGAGACUGCCGGGGUCAACUCGGAGGAAGGUGGGGAUGACGUCAAAUCAUCAUGCCCGUUUAUGUCUUGGGCUUCACGCAUGCUACAAUGGCCGGUACAGAGAGAGGCGAGCCCGUGAGGGUAAGCGAAUCCCUUAAAGGCCGCGCUCCCAGUUCGGAUCGUAGUCUGCAAUUCGACUACGUGAAGUCGGAGUCGCUAGUAAUCGCAGAUCAGCAACGCUGCGGUGAAUACGUUCCCGGGCCUUGUACACACCGCCCGUCAAGUCACGAAAGUCGGUAACACCCGAAGCCCAUGGCCCAACCACCUCGUGUGGGGGGAGUGGU
rnacentral:rRNA from 1 species